AACUUACCGAAAGGUGAGCUAAUGCCGGAUGAGUUAUAUAAGUGCAUGUUUAUAUAGGAAAAGUUGGGGAGACCUGACGCUGAAAGAUGGACUCGCGUCCCAUUAGCUAGUUGGUAGGGUAAUGGCCUACCAAGGCGACGAUGGGUAGCCGGCCUGAGAGGGUGGCCGGCCACACUGGGACUGAGACACGGCCCAGACUCCUACGGGAGGCAGCAGUGGGGAAUUUUGCGCAAUGCUCGUAAGAGUGACGCAGCGACGCCGCGUGAAUGACGAAGGCCUUCGGGUCGUAAAGUUCUUUCGACAGGGAAGAAAAUGCCUAUAAGUAACUGUGUAUGUAUUGACGGUACCUGUAUAAGCAGCCCCGGCUAACUCCGUGCCAGCAGCCGCGGUAAUACGGAGGGGGCGAGCGUUGUUCGGAGUGACUGGGCGUAAAGAGCACGUAGGCGGUGUUGUAAGUCAUUAGUCAAAGACUAGAGCUCAACUUUAGUAAGGCUAGUGAUACUAUAAUACUAGAGUAUCAGAGAGGAUUGCAGAAUUCCUGGUGUAGCGGUGAAAUGCGUAGAUAUCAGGAGGAAUACCGUUAGCGAAGGCGGCAAUCUGGCUGGAAACUGACGCUGAGGUGCGAAAGCGUGGGUAGCAAACAGGAUUAGAUACCCUGGUAGUCCACGCUGUAAACGAUGGAUGCUAGGUGUCGGUGAAAUGCGUAGAUAUCAGGAGGAAUACCGUUAGCGAAGGCGGCAAUCUGGCUGGAAACUGACGCUGAGGUGCGAAAGCGUGGGUAGCAAACAGGAUUAGAUACCCUGGUAGUCCACGCUGUAAACGAUGGAUGCUAGGUGU
rnacentral:rRNA from 1 species